AUUGAACGCUGGCGGCAUGCCUUACACAUGCAAGUCGAACGGUAACAGGUCUUCGGAUGCUGACGAGUGGCGAACGGGUGAGUAAUACAUCGGAACGUGCCCGAUCGUGGGGGAUAACGAAGCGAAAGCUUUGCUAAUACCGCAUACGAUCUACGGAUGAAAGCAGGGGACCGCAAGGCCUUGCGCGAACGGAGCGGCCGAUGGCAGAUUAGGUAGUUGGUGGGAUAAAAGCUUACCAAGCCGACGAUCUGUAGCUGGUCUGAGAGGACGACCAGCCACACUGGGACUGAGGCACGGCCCAGACUCCUACGGGAGGCAGCAGUGGGGAAUUUUGGACAAAGGGCGAAAGCCUGAUCCAGCCAUGCCGCGUGCAGGAUGAAGGCCUUCGGGUUGUAAACUGCUUUUGUACGGAACGAAAAGACUCUGGUUAAUACCUGGGGUCCAUGACGGUACCGUAAGAAUAAGCACCGGCUAACUACGUG
rnacentral:rRNA from 1 species